rnacentral:rRNA from 1 species
AUUGAACGCUGGCGGCAGGCCUAACACAUGCAAGUCGAACGGUAACAGGGGUCAUCUUUCUGAUUCGCUGACGAGUGGCGGACGGGUGAGGAAUGUCUGGGAAACUGCCUGAUGGAGGGGGACAACUACUGGAAACGGUAACUAAUACCUCAUAACGGCGCUAGAACAAAAAGGGGGACCUAGGGGCCUCUUGCCAUCUGCUGUGCCCAGAUGGGAUUAGUUAGUAGGUGGGGGAACGGGUCACCUAGCCAACGUACCUUAGCUGGUUUGAGAGGAUGACAGCCCACACUGGAACGGGGAACGGGCCAAGACUCCUACGGGAGGAAGAAGAGGGGAAUUUUGGACAAUGGGGGCAGGCCGGAUGCAGCAAUGCCGCGGGUAGGAAGAAGGCUUCCGGGUUGUAAAGUCCUUUCAGCGGGGAGGAAGGGAGUAAAGUUAAUAACUUCACUCAUUGACGGUACCCUAAGAAGAAGCAACGGCUAACUACGUG